GACGAACGCUGGCGGCGUGCCUAAUACAUGCAAGUCGAGCGCAGGAAGUCAUCCGAACCCUUCGGGGGGACGUUGACGGAAUGAGCGGCGGACGGGUGAGUAACACGUAAAGAACCUGCCCUCAGGUCUGGGAUAACCACGAGAAAUCGGGGCUAAUACCGGAUGGGUCAUCGGACCGCAUGGUCCGAGGAUGAAAGGCGCUCCGGCGUCGCCUGGGGAUGGCUUUGCGGUGCAUUAGCUAGUUGGUGGGGUAAUGGCCCACCAAGGCGACGAUGCAUAGCCGACCUGAGAGGGUGAUCGGCCACACUGGGACUGAGACAUGGCCCAGACUCCUACGGGAGGCAGCAGUAGGGAAUCUUCCACAAUGGACGAAAGUCUGAUGGAGCAACGCCGCGUGAACGAUGAAGGCCCUCGGGUCGUAAAGUUCUGUUGUAAGGGAAGAACAAGUGCCGCAGGCAAUGGCGGCACCUUGACGGUACCUUGCGAGAAAGCCACGGCUAACUACGUG
rnacentral:rRNA from 1 species